rnacentral:rRNA from 1 species
GUCCACGCCCUAAACGAUGUCAACUGGUUGUUGGACUGCUUGCUGUUCAGUAACGAAGCUAACGCGUGAAGUUGACCGCCUGGGGAGUACGGCCGCAAGGUUGAAACUCAAAGGAAUUGACGGGGACCCCGCACAAGCGGUGGAUGAUGUGGUUUAAUUCGAUGCAACGCGAAAACCUUACCUACCCUUGACAUGUCUAGAAGUUUCCAGAGAUGGAUUCGUGCUCGAAAGAGAACUAGAACACAGGUGCUGCAUGGCCGUCGU